UGAACGCUAGCUACAGGCUUAACACAUGCAAGUCGAGGGGCAUCAGGAAGAAAGCUUGCUUUCUUUGCUGGCGACCGGCGCACGGGUGAGUAACACGUAUCCAACCUGCCCUUUACUCGGGGAUAGCCUUUCGAAAGAAAGAUUAAUACCCGAUAGCAUAAUGAUUCCGCAUGGUUUCAUUAUUAAAGGAUUCCGGUAAAGGAUGGGGAUGCGUUCCAUUAGGUUGUUGGUGAGGUAACGGCCCACCAAGCCUUCGAUGGAUAGGGGUUCUGAGAGGAAGGUCCCCCACAUUGGAACUGAGACACGGUCCAAACUCCUACGGGAGGCAGCAGUGAGGAAUAUUGGUCAAUGGGCGCUAGCCUGAACCAGCCAAGUAGCGUGAAGGAUGAAGGCUCUAUGGGUCGUAAACUUCUUUUAUAUAAGAAUAAAGUGCAGUAUGUAUACUGUUUUGUAUGUAUUAUAUGAAUAAGGAUCGGCUAACUCCGUGCCAGCAGCCGCGGUAAUACGGAGGAUCCGAGCGUUAUCCGGAUUUAUUGGGUUUAAAGGGAGCGUAGGUGGACUGGUAAGUCAGUUGUGAAAGUUUGCGGCUCAACCGUAAAAUUGCAGUUGAUACUGUCAGUCUUGAGUACAGUAGAGGUGGGCGGAAUUCGUGGUGUAGCGGUGAAAUGCUUAGAUAUCACGAAGAACUCCGAUUGCGAAGGCAGCUCACUGGACUGCAACUGACACUGAUGCUCGAAAGUGUGGGUAUCAAACAGGAUUAGAUACCCUGGUAGUCCACACAGUAAACGAUGAAUACUCGCUGUUUGCGAUAUACAGUAAGCGGCCAAGCGAAAGCAUUAAGUAUUCCACCUGGGGAGUACGCCGGCAACGGUGAAACUCAAAGGAAUUGACGGGGGCCCGCACAAGCGGAGGAACAUGUGGUUUAAUUCGAUGAUACGCGAGGAACCUUACCCGGGCUUAAAUUGCAGUGGAAUGAUGUGGAAACAUGUCAGUGAGCAAUCACCGCUGUGAAGGUGCUGCAUGGUUGUUGUCAGCUCGUGCCGUGAGGUGUCGGCUUAAGUGCCAUAACGAGCGCAACCCUUAUCUUUAGUUACUAACAGGUUAUGCUGAGGACUCUGGAGAGACUGCCGUCGUAAGAUGUGAGGAAGGUGGGGAUGACGUCAAAUCAGCACGGCCCUUACGUCCGGGGCUACACACGUGUUACAAUGGGGGGUACAGAAGGCAGCUAGCGGGUGACCGUAUGCUAAUCCCAAAAGCCUCUCUCAGUUCGGAUCGAAGUCUGCAACCCGACUUCGUGAAGCUGGAUUCGCUAGUAAUCGCGCAUCAGCCACGGCGCGGUGAAUACGUUCCCGGGCCUUGUACACACCGCCCGUCAAGCCAUGGGAGCCGGGGGUACCUGAAGUACGUAACCGCAAGGAUCGUCCUAGGGUAAAACUGGUGACUGGG
rnacentral:rRNA from 1 species